GCGCCAUGGCGGCCGCGCUCUCCGCCCGGCUCAAACCCGGCGCGCGGCCCCGCCCGCGCCUCUCAUUGGGCCGCUCGCCGUUCGAAAUCAGGCCCCGGCCGCCCAACGGCCACGCGGGGCUGCCCGCCGCGCCUGCCUCCGCGCGCCGCCUCAGAGCCUGAACAGCCAAGGGCCCGCGCGCCGCUCGCCGGCGAUCGCGCUGGAUGCCUAAGGGCCGGCGGGGCGGAACAGUGAGAGCGCCCUCAGCGCUCCGUCCCCACGUCUCCCUCAGCGCUCCGUCCCCACAUCGCCGUCAUCCCCACGUCCCCCUCAUCCCAGACACGUGCCCGCCCCUUGCCCCCACAGGUGUCCGGCGGUGCCGAGUUCGGGGCUGUUUCAGUUGGUUGGUCACUUGGAAACAAGUGUCUUUUUCUCCAAAAAUAAGCGUCAAAUAAAAACAGCUGCCCACGGCAGUUUUGGGGGUAAACUGGACUCUUCCACCCUAUCUCAUGGCCAGGGAAUGUCAAGUAUCAGCACGGAGAAAAUGUCGAGGUUCUUCCCGUCUGCUUCCGUCAUUGUCAUUGUCAUUGCUUUCCUCUGCAUUACGUGCAGGUCUGCCCGAGGUAGACACUGGAGCAGGAAAAAUUACUUUGAGAAUAAGAACUAUAAUUUUGGAACCAGUUGUAGCAUCCCAACUCAAAUCUAGGAUACCUGUUUGAAAUUGAGUUAAGAAAAAUAAACAACUGUUUGGCAUUGUCCUGGGGUGACUGUAUGAUGCUUGUAUCCCCAGUUGUCUGUUUUGCUUAUGCUGGAUGUUGAGUUCUGUGCUUUUAAAGUAGAUGUGAGAGCGAAGUGGGAAGGAGAAGAAGCGGUGGAAUGUCUGAGGCGGCUGUAUUCAAAAACAUAAAAACAGGAGCUUCAGCUCUCUCAGUGUGUGUGUCUGCAGCAUGGACAGUGAGAGGGAAAUGGGAGUUUUUCUUUGUUUUUCGCAGGUUUUCCUCAUAAGCUGUGGCAAGGAAAGUUUUCACAAGACUGUGUCUUUUUUCCUGGAGAUUUUCAAACCUGCUCUGCACUGAAACCCCCACAAAAACACUGUGGCUCACAAGGGCCUGGGAUGCAGCAAUUCCCAGCACAGGAGGGACUGAUAACAGACUGGGCUCGGCAUGUUUUGAGCACAGAGAAGCUCAGGCCAACUUUGUGUGUGGGACUGUGUGAACGGGACCUCUGCAGUGCAGUGACCAAAUCUGCAGAUAGGACUCAAGGUGAGGCUGCACCAGUGCAGAGCAGAGUGGGGAAGUCCUUGGCUUAGGGUAAGUACGACUUAGCAACAACCAAAAUAUCAGUGUUUUAUUCACAUUAGUCUCCUAUGGAAUCCAAAACACAGCACUGCAUCAGCUACUGAGAAGAAAAUGAGCUCUGCCCCAGCUGAAACCAGGACAAGAAAAAGCAAAGUUGUUAGCAUAUUACUGCAUACUAUUUCUUCUGUUUAGUUUCAAUCAUUGAUAAAUAUACAAAUACUCAAGACUGAAUUAAAACAUACAGAUUGAAAAAAACCUCAGUAGUGUUGGAAUUGUGAAGAAUUUAUCAUUAGUAGUUUCCCCAUUCAUUUAUUUAUAGCUUUAUGAGACAUUUUCAUGUAGUGUCAGACAUACUUAAGUCUAUCCACCGACUGCACAAAAAUAUCUGUUCAAAAACCUAUGAAGAUCAGACAAUUCCUAUGUUGAUUAUCUUAGCUUCAGAAAAACCACCACCCCAGAAGCUGACUUCCUGCUUGAGCAACCAUACGCUAAUUGCAAAACAAAAGGCACAAAAGGCACGUCUGGAGAGGCCCUUUCAGCAGUUAGGGCACUGCAGCGUAUCUGAUGCCGAACAACUUGUAAAUGUUUAGCAGGUUCUUUGUUGGAGAGAGUCUGCUUGAUGUAUGCUGCUAAUACUGCUGGGUGAUGUGACAGAGCAUUAAGGAAAACAAGCUGCAUCCUUUACUGUCAAACUGUUCAGUUUCAGCUGCUCCAAAGAGUAGGCUUUCGGGUAAAGAGUAGGCAGCUGCUUUUUCUGGGUUUUUUAGUCAGCUGUCAUCUUUACCAAGUCACUUUCCACCUGUUGGUUUUUAAAAAAAAAUAAAAUCCUUCCCACUCUCUUCAAGUCAGUUACUGAGAUUCAAACCCAUAAUGCCAGGUUAAUGUCUGUUACAUGACUGACUGUGAAAAGAACAACAUGAAGAAAGCAACAGGUAACUUGUGGUCCUUAACAGAUUGGUUUUGUGUCGUUGCGUUUUUCUUAAACUAAAAAAGAUUAAUUGAUUUUUUAUUUUAAAUCCAUUGAUGGUAACUCCUAGUUUUCUACUCAUUUCUACAAUAUAUUUUUUCAGUGUAUUUAAUGUCCAAUUUAAGCUCAAAUCUUCCCAUAAUUAAAAUUAAUUAAUGAAAAUAUUUUAGACCUUAAAACCUUAAAAGUACAUGCUCAGAAAAUGACUUUGUUAUGUUAGUUUCUAAAAGUAUGUAAGCAAUACUGUGUUCAGUGCUUCUAGGCCUGUGGGACAUAUGAUAGAAUGUCCUUAAACCCAGACCUUUUAACUGUCCGCAGAAAAGGACUCCAAAUCCAAUCCCCAGGAAUUUUGUACCAUGCCAGAGCUGUAAGGCAGUUGUGUUACCAAGUUGCCUCCCUCUCCUUCUCAUGAUGUGCUUGAAACCUGUCUGUGUGUGAAGGGUUGGAGCACAGGAAGCCAAGCAGAGUUAUCUCUGUGGCUUGCUGGUCCUGGCUUUCCACCCAUCUGUAUUUCCUGCACCUCUGACAAACAGUCCCAUGCUGGAGUGACAUGGCUUCUGCAUGGGACAGAGUAGCUCUGUUGGCUUUACGUGGCCAGAUGAGGGAUCGGGUGCAAGGACAAGGUGCACACAGGAGAGAAGAACAGGACUCACAGGGCUUUGGGGGCUGGAAAUGAUCCCCCCCAGCAGCUGUCACAGAAUUAUACAAUCACAGAAUGGUUGAGGCUCGAGGGGACCACUGGAGAUCAUCUACUCCAACCUCCCUUCUCAAGCAGGGACCCUUAUUCAGGAUUGUUCCUGUUAUUCAGGAUUGUAUCCAGGUAGGUGUUGAACAUCUCCAGUGAGGGAGACCACAACUCUCCUGGCAGUCUGUUCCAGCGCUCAGUCACCUGCAUAGUAACAAAGUAAUUUCUCAUGUUCAGGUGGAACUUCCUAUGUCUCUUGUCCUAUCACUUGGCAGCAUCCAGAAGAGCCUGGCUCCAUCCCCUUGACAUUUACCCUUCAGAUACUUGUAUAUAUUUAUAACAACCCCCCUCAUUCUUCUCCAGGAUAAACAGGCCCUGCUCCCUCAGCCUUUCCUCAUAAGUGACCUGUUCCAGUCCCCUCAUCCUCUUUGUUGCCCUUCACUGGACCAGCUCCAGUAGCUCCCUGUCUCUCCUGUCCUGAGGAGCCCAGAACUGGACACAGCUCUCCAGGUGAGGCUCACCAGGGCUGAGCAGAGGGGCAG